rnacentral:rRNA from 1 species
AGUUUGAUCCUGGCUCAGAGCGAACGCUGGCGGCGUGCUUAACACAUGCAAGUCGAGUGCGCAGUUCCCUGUAGCAAUACAGGGGAUGGGCGCACGGCGCACGGGUGCGUAACACGUGGGCAAUCUGCCCUCGGAUGGGGGAUAACCCCGCGAAAGCGGGGCUAAUACCGCAUGACAUUCCGGAGACUCCGGUCUCUGGACUCAAAGGCCGCAAGGCCGUCUGAGGAGGAGCCCGCGCCCGAUUAGCUAGUUGGUGAGGUAACGGCUCACCAAGGCUUUGAUCGUUAGCUGGUCUGAGAGGAUGGCCAGCCACACUGGAACUGAGACACGGUCCAGACUCCUACGGGAGGCAGCAGUGGGGAAUCUUGCAUAAUGGGCGAAAGCCUGAUGCAGCGACGCCGCGUGGGGGAUGAAGCUUCUUGGAGUGUAAACCCCUUUCGACCCGGACGAAUGCCCCGCAAGGGGACUGACGGUACGGGUAUAAGAAGCCCCGGCUAACUACGUGCCAGCAGCCGCGGUAAUACGUAGGGGGCCAGCGUUGCUCGGAAUUACUGGGCGUAAAGGGUCCGUAGGCGGUGCGGCAAGUCGAUAGUGAAAUCUCUGGGCUUAACCCAGAGGCUGCUAACGAAACUGCCGUGCUAGAGUGUGAGAGAGGCGAGUGGAAUUACGGGUGUAGCGGUGAAAUGCGUAGAUAUCCGUAGGAACAUCCGAGGCGAAAGCGGCUCGCUGGAUCACAACUGACGCUGAGGGACGAAAGCUAGGGGAGCAAACAGGAUUAGAUACCCUGGUAGUCCUAGCCCUAAACCAUCACGACUUGGGGUUUGCCCUGUACAGGGCAAGUCCCGUAGCUAACGCGUUAAGUCCUGCGCCUGGGGAGUACGGUCGCAAGGCUGAAACUCAAAGGAAUUGACGGGGGUCCCGCACAGCGGUGGACAUGUGAUCAUUCGACGCUACGCGAGGACUUACCUGGGCUCGAAUGCUCUGACAGCUGUAGAAUACGCUCCGCAGGACAGGAGUAUAGGCGCUGCAUGCUGUCGUCAGCUCGUGCCGUGAGGUGUUGGGUUAAGUCCCGCAACGAUCGCAACCCUAUCACUAGUUACCAGCGGUCCGGCCGGGGACUCUAGUGAGACCGCCGAUAUUCAAAUCGGAGGAAGGUGGGGACGACGUCAAGUCAUCAUGGCCCUUAUGUCCAGGGCCACACACGUGCUACAAUGGUUGCUACAAAGCGCUGCAAACCCGCGAGGGGAAGCCAAUCGCAAAAAAGCAACCUCAGUACAGAUAAGAGUCUGCAACUCGACUCUUUGAAGUCGGAAUCGCUAGUAAUCGCUGAUCAGCAGGCAGCGGUGAAUACGUUCCCGGGCCUUGUACACACCGCCCGUCACACCAUGGGAGUCGUUUGCUCCAGAAGUGCCUGCGCCAAUCGCAAGGAGGCGGGGCCCCAAGGAGUGACCGGUAACUGGGGUGAAGUCGUAACAAGGUA